rnacentral:tRNA from 1 species
AAGAAAUUAGUUAACUUAUAACAUUAGUAUGUCAUACUAAAAUAAUUAAUUUAAUUUAAUAUUUCUUU